rnacentral:lncRNA from 1 species
AGAUCUCAUCUUGUAGUCGAUGGCCAAAGAGAGAUGAAAAUUUUCAAACCAUUUUGAUUAAUUUGGGAGUUUCCAUUGCAGGGGUGGGGUGUGGCUGUAUUGGUUGGUGUGCCAAACAAAGAUGACUCAUUCAAAACGCAUCCCGUGAAUCUAUUGAACGAAAGGACUCUGAAGGGCACUUUCUUUGGCAACUACAAACCCCGUUCCGACCUUCCUUCAGUGGUGGAAAAAUACAUGAACAAGGUAAUUAAUUAAUUAGCCGAAUUCCUUAAUUAGGUGGUUAUAUUUUGGGGAAGAUGAAUUCCUUAGUAAGUUAAUUUUUAUGUGGACAGGAGCUUGAAGUGGAGAAAUUCAUCACACAUGAAGUCCCUUUUGCAGAGAUCAAUAAGGCCUUCGAAUACAUGCUUCAAGGGGAUGGCCUUCGUUGCAUUAUUCGCAUGGAUCCAUAAAAGGUUGGGGAGAUUGGCCUAUUGCAGUUUGUUUUUCGAAGUGCCUGUGUUUGAUGAAAUUCAACUAUGUGGAGCAACCAUAGAUGUAUAAAGCAGUCGCAGUACUUAACAUUUUUACUCUCUUCUUGUGUAAUUUCUUUGUACCUUUAAUUGGACGCCCAUGAUCUAAAUUCUGAAAAGAUCCCAACCCAAUUCUCCCUUGACUUGGAUCUGCACAGCCAUAGCCAUGGCUGUCAAUAAGGAUGUGCUUCAGUUUUUUGUCUUUCUUUCUUGGUUAUGUUGUGAUUUUUUCCCCAAUGCAAUUAUAAUUACCAUCUCAUGUCUUGCCUCCUUGAAGGUGGAAAAAAGUAUUUCUCCUGUGCAUUAGAGACUUGUCAUAACAAGCACACCCAAAUUUUCCUUUUUUUUUUUUUUUUUUUCUUUUUUUUUUUUUGUGUUGCCUGUGGACGGUUUCUAUAAAAAAUAAUUCAUGCUUUUGGAUUUGAAGUACAACUCAUCUUUUCAAAAAAAAAAAAAAAAACAAGAACCAAAAAUAAAAAAUAUUCAAUGAAAAAUAUAAAAACUUUUAAGAUAAAAGGUAAAUUCGUCUUUUCAACCCAAAAACUAAAUUCAUUUUUAAAAAAUCAAUUUAGUAUAAAAAUAAAAUAACUGAUAAAAAGAACCAAUUUUUUUAUAAUAAAAAUUUAAACAAUUAUUUUUUAAUAAAAUAAUUUUAUAUAUAAAAAACCCAAUGCUUGUUUGGUAACCGUUUUAAAAAAAAAUUCUGAAAAAUAGUUAUGAGAACAAUUAUUCUCUUAUUUUUGUAAAACAAAAGUUUAUUUGAAAAAUUAAAAUAUUUUUAACCUAUUUUUAAUAUUUUUAAAUAUGCAUAUCUAAUGUUUUAUUUUUAAUAUUUCUACAUGUUUAUAUGAUUAUUUCUUAAAAUAAUUCUUAGAAAAUAAGUAAAAAUAAUAAAAAAUCAAUUAAAAGAUGUUUUAUGAAAACACCAUGUUUUCUAUUCUUAAAAUUAGAAAACAAAAAAUAUUUUUUGUUUGUCAAACAUUUUUUUUAUAUUUUUAUUCUGCUGAACAGAAAACUAUUCUAAAACACAAUUCCCAAACAAGGCCCAAACCUCUGCUAUAUUAUCAGUUGGAGUUGCUGUAUUUUUUGUGCACUUAAACUAAUUUAGAUGCAAAAAAGGAUGACUAAAAGGUAAGAAUAGGAAAGGAAGAGGCCUUGGAGUGAAAAAACAGGAGUUCAAUCUUGGUUAAAUCCAAGUGAACCCAAAUUUUGUUUGGAGAAAAAAUAAAAUAAAAUUCAAAUUUUUUAUGAAUAAGUUAGUCAAUUAUAUUAUAUAUUACAUUAAUAUCAAGAUUUUUUUCUUGUCAUGUCUCUAUCAUAUUAUAAUUAAAAGUAUUCAAUUAUGAUGACGAUAAGCUACCUAACCAAAAUCACAAGGUUAUGUUUGGCUCCCAAAAAAUACUAAGUAAAGAAAAAAAAAUACGAAAGGAAAUGAUUUUUUCAUAUUUGGUUGUCCUAUGAAAAAUAUAAAAGAAAAUCGAAUAUAAUUAAAACUAGUUAAAAACUUAUAUAUUUUUAAAUUAUUUAAUUUUUAUAUAAAUAAAAUGAGUUUGAAAUAGUAAAUAAAAAUAAUUUAUCGACUUUUAAUUUAUUUUUUAUUUUCCAUUAUUUCUUCUUUCCUUCUACUUUUCUUUUGUAUUUUCUUUCCCUUACAUUUUUCCUCAAAAUUUUCGAGAACCAAACAUAGCCUAACUAAUUAGAUUGUAUCACAUAUGCAUUUUGAUUCAUUGCUUUUUAUUUGUUGCUUUGUCCUAGUCUCUUCUUGUCUUUGUCAUAUAUACUAUAAAUUACAAAUGUCUGGCUAUGAUACCGAAGAGGUAUCUAAUGAAAACUAUGACUAAUUAGGUUGCAUUACGCAAUGUAUUUUGAUUUCAUUACUUUUAUAUUUAGGGAGGAUCAUCUAAAGCACAAUAUCUUACCAUAUACCAAAGGAGAGUAUUAUAUCAUUUCUAUCAUCACGAUACUUUUAAGUUUUAACACACUUUAGCAUUCAUAAAAUAGUAAUACUUUUUUUUUUUUUUAAAGAUUGUGUUGAUCGGUAUGCAAACUCAUUCGUUGAAAUUUGCAUUUUUAUUUUUUAUUUUAACCAAACAAUACUUUUAUCCAGACCAUUUUUAGAAAUAUUAGAUUAAGGGAUAGGAUAAUACCAUAUUUAGAAAAAUAUUUUUUAUGUAUCCAAAAUUGCAUAUAUAUAUCCUUAUUCAAAAUUAUUCUGAAUGAGCAGACCAAUUGGAAGCUCUUUUAUACCUUACCCACUCUCUAUUAGUUUGUUAAUAAACAAAACUUUGAAUAGAUAAGAGUGAUGAAAUAUUAUUAGUUUUAUACAGCGUUGACAACAAGCAACCGCGUAUGUAGGAAAGGCGGCAGACAAACAAACCAGGGAUGGAAUUCGAAGGCGCCGUGGGUUGUAGCCCCCCAAAAGACAAAACAAGGGUAGUGAAUAGUAACUGGGUUUUGUGUCCCAGACGGUAGGUGGAAUGUACUAUAAAUAGCAAUUGUAGGACAUCCAUUUCUCCACAAAGACAAAAACAGAGCAAGAGUACUACUGUGAAGCGUGAGAGAGCCUAAAGAUGUCAAGCACAGCUGGUCAAGUUAUACGUUGCAAAGGUAUUCUAGAAUCUACCUUUUUCUCUUCCUUUUUGUAUUGGGCUUAUGCUAUUGUCCUGGUUGUUUUGGGGAAAUGAGAUGAUUGUUAAAGAGGAAUUCAAGAUCACAUGGCCGAUAGGAAAUUGGGGAAUUUGUACCUACAUAUAUUGCUUUCUCCUGUUCAUAUAGGUUUCCUAGUGUCUGUGAUCGUUUGUAUUAUUUUUAAUUAUGUACACGAUUGGUUGAAUUCUUUUGACAAAUGGGUAUCUCCAUUACAGCCGCGGUAGCAUGGGAAGCAGGAAAGCCAUUGGUGAUAGAAGAAGUGGAAGUGGCGCCUCCACAGGUCAUGGAGGUUCGUCUGAAGAUUCUCUUCACCUCCCUCUGCCAUACUGAUGUUUACUUCUGGGAAGCCAAGGUAACUUCUUCAUGCCAGUGUUAUGUAGACUGUAAUUACAAAUCUAUAAUGUAUUACUUAAUAUGCAGAGAUUCAUGUAGAGUUGGGUUUUCAAUUUGCAGGGACAAACCCCUUUAUUUCCUCGUAUAUUUGGUCAUGAGGCUGGCGGGUAUGAUGAUAUUCUUUGAAAAAUUAUUUAACAAAACUACUCAAUUUCAUUUUCAUUGAUGUCUACUUCAUUUUUCCAACACAAUCGACCUUUUUAUCUUAAUAAUUUUCUUUCCUUUCCUGUCAUUUUAAUUAGGAUUGUGGAGAGCGUGGGUGAGGGUGUCACAGAUCUCCAACCUGGAGACCAUGUUCUUCCUGUAUUCACUGGCGAAUGCAAGGAGUGCCGGCACUGCAAGUCAGAGGAGAGUAAUAUGUGUGACCUCCUCAGGAUAAACACCGACAGAGGCGUGAUGCUCAGUGAUAACAAAUCAAGAUUCUCUAUUAACGGAAAACCCAUUUACCAUUUUGUGGGGACUUCCACAUUUAGCGAAUACACUGUGGUUCAUGUUGGUUGCGUCGCUAAGAUCAACCCUGCUGCCCCACUCGACAAAGUUUGUGUUCUCAGUUGUGGAAUCUCUACAGGUGAGGGAGAACCAUCAAACAAACUCUUCCAAUUUAUUUAUUUCAUUGGUGUCUUCUUUUAUUUCUUGUCUUGUUAAUGACAAGUGUGCUUUCUGUUAAAGGUCUGGGUGCUACAUUGAAUGUUGCAAAACCAUGGAAGGGUUCAUCAGUCGCCAUUUUCGGUUUAGGAGCUGUGGGGCUUGCUGUGAGUUUCUCCUCUCUAAUGGAAGCCGCUCAUUCUUUUGCUCUUUAUUACUGCUAUUAAUGAAAUUAAUUUUACUUUGGUUUCAAAUGAUUAGGCUGCUGAGGGGGCUAGAAUUGCAGGCGCUUCCAGAAUCAUUGGGAUUGAUCUAAACCCUAAGAGAUUUAAUGACGGUGAGUACUCAAAAUGCCCACAAGAUUAAAACACUGUGUCAUACAAUUACAAAUUACUAUUUGUGCCUGCUCUAAUGCUGAACACUAUGGAUGAUUUUUCAUUUGACUUUUGUUGCUAACAGCAAAGAAAUUUGGCGUCACUGAGUUUGUGAACCCAAAGGAUCAUGACAAGCCUGUUCAAGAGGUUCAUUCCUUUACCUUCUAUCAUAAAUUGCUGACAAGCAAAUAUAAGUGUGUGCUUUAUACUGAUGGAGAAUUCUUUUGUGAUUAGGUGAUUGCUGAGAUGACCGAUGGGGGAGUGGACAGAAGUGUUGAGUGUACCGGAAAUGUCAAUGCUAUGAUAUCUGCAUUUGAGUGUGUUCAUGAUGUAAGUUCAUCAGAUCUCAUCUUGUAGUCGUUGGCCAAAGAGAUGAAAAUUUUCAAACCAUUUUGAUUAAUUUGGGAGUUUCCAUUGUAGGGGUGGGGUGUUGCUGUGCUGGUUGGUGUGCCAAACAAAGAUGACUCGUUCAAAACGCACCCCGUGAAUCUAUUGAACGAGAGGACUCUGAAGGGCACUUUCUUUGGCAACUACAAACCCCGUUCCGACCUUCCUUCAGUGGUGGAAAAAUACAUGAACAAGGUGAUUAAUUAAUUAGCUGAAUUCCUUAAUUAGGUGAUUAUAUUUUGGGAAGAUGUCUUACUCGGUUAUUUUACCGUGGACAGGAGCUUGAACUGGAGAAAUUCAUCACACACGAAGUCCCUUUUGCAGAGAUCAACAAGGCCUUCGAAUAUAUGCUUAGCGGGGAUGGGCUUCGAUGCAUCAUUCGCAUGAAUGCAUAAAACAUUGGGGAGAUUUGCCUAUUCCAGUCUGCAUAAGUGUCUUAAGUACUCUGUCUUUUAAUGCAUUUGAGUUUGCUUUUUCAAAGUGUGUUUGCGUGAUGAGAUCAGAUUUUGUGGAGAGUAAUGCUAUAUGGAUAAAGCUUUAAUAUAAACAAUGUCUAUGCAGUUGCAAUAUAUAACAUUUUUAUUAUCCACAACACGUCUAAGAAAAUGACAAUUUUUCUAUUUUCUUUUUUAUUUUAUUUUUUCCUUUUAAUUAUGUAAUCCUAAAAUCAUCCCAACCCAAUUCUCCCUUAGCUUGGAUCUGCACAUACGUAGCCAUAUCCAUGGCUUUCCACACCGGAAGAAAACAAAUGAUGAUUUUAUUGUCCUUUUUAUACAAUAUUCAAUAAAAAUAUUCUUUAAUAAUUAUUUUAUAAAUAAAAUAAUUUUCAUAAAAACUAAGAGUACUUAAAAAAUAUUCAAUAAAAAGGAAUGGGAUGAAAACCCAAUAAGGAAUAUCAAUAUAAUUUUAUAAAUAAAUUUUUUUAAAUAUCAUUACAAAUAAGAGAUACAAUUUAAUAAUUAUUUUCAAAAAAAUGUUUGAACUUUAAAAAUAUUAAAUCAAUAUUUUCAAUCAAUAUUAUUUAUAUCAAUGAUAAUUUUAUAUCUAAUAAAAAAAUAAAUUAUUUCAAAAUAUUUUUACUCCAAUUAUCAAAUAACAAUUAAUGUCUAAUUAGGUAAAACUUUACAAUUUGAUGGAUAGUCUUAAAUAUUAUUCUUUUUUAAGACGGAUGAAAUCAAACUCUAUUAAUAUUAGUAACCUCUAACCAAACCAUUAGAUAUUGGGAUCCAUUGCAAUUAUAUUCUCCACCAAGGAAUUUAAAAUUUAAAGGCCAACAAUAAUAUCAUUAGGGCCCAACAAGCUAAAGUCAAACAAAUUUAUUUAAAAAAAGAAUUUUAAAGGAUAUUUCAAUCAAAAUUUUAUUUUAAAAUAUAUAUAUAUAUAUAUAUAUAUAUUUUACAUUUUUAUUUACUAAAGAUAUUUCAAUCCAAAUUUUAUUUAAAGAAGAAAUAUUUUUAUACAACUUUUAUUAAAAAAAAAAAGAUAUUUAUAAUUUUGUAUAUAAAAAAGCAUUCCAUUUGAUUUUUAUUUGAAAUAGAAUUUUAUGAUUUUGCUUAAUGAAAGAAUCUUGCUUUUAUCAAAAAGAUAUUUCCAUAAUAUUAUCUAGAAUAAAGAAUCUUGCUUAACUUUAUUUGAAAAAAAGGAUUUUUUGCAUUUUGUAAAUUAAAUUUCCCAUCCAAAAUUUAUUUUUAUUUACCAAAAUAGUGAUUCUUAAUUAAUUUUAUUAGAAAAUUAGUUUCAAAUUUAUUAUUUAAAUAAUAUUUAAAUUUUAUGUAAAAAAGGAUAUUUUUAUUUGUUAAGACAAACCAAAAUUUCAAUUUAUUUAAAAAAUAAGAUUUUAACUUUAUUCAAAAACAAUUUCAAAAGAACUUUCAUCUUGACACCAAAAAAAAUUAUUUCAUAUUGAUUAAUAGGAUAAUUUUGAUUUUAUUGAAGAUAAUAUAUAUAUAAUUCAAAAAAAAUUACAAAAACUAAUUUAUUAAAAUAAUUAUUCUAAGAAAAGACUAGAUUUUUUGUUAAAAAAAUAUUUUUCUGUUUUAUUAAAAAAAAUUAUUCAAUUUACCAAUAAAAAGGGAAUUUCAGUUUGCUUUUGAAAAAAAGGUGAUUUCGAAUUUUAUUUUAUUUGCACAAAAAAAAAAAGUUUAAAGAAAAACAACUACAGAUUUAUGAAAAAAAAAUGAAAAAAAAUAUAAUAUAUAAAAAUCAAUUUAUCAACAAUGUUAUUUUAAGAAAAAAAAAAUAUUAUUAGUUUAUGAAAAGACAUUUUUAAUCAUUAUUCCUCAUUUUAUUUCUUAGAAAUAUUCUAAAAAAAAAAACUAAAAAUUAAGGUGGUGUUUUUUUUUUUUUCACUUAACUCUAAAUAAAACUUUAAUAUUUAAUAAUAUUAAGUAUUAAGUUGUUUGUUUUUAUAAUAUUCUAUUUUUAUUAAGCAUUAAAAAAUAAAGAAAAAUGCACGUGUUACUUUUUUCAUUUAGAAAAAGUCAAAUAUUUUGGUUUUUUCUAUUCAAUAAAAAGUUUGUAAUAAAUUAUGAAAAAGUAGAAAAAUAAACAACAUAAAGUGUGAAAGCAAAUUGCUUUUAGUAAAAAACUAAAAAUAAAAAAUAAACAUCCUUUAACUUAAUAUAUUUUUCAUAAUUGAUAAAAACCAAAAAAUUUGGUUGAAUAUGAAUAAUGUAUUAAAGAAAGUAAAACAAGAACAAAAUAUAACUCAAACCCUUCCACACAAAAAUAAAACUCAGAAAAUAUAGAGUGCUAUUUGUUAACUCAUGUCGCCUCUUAUCAUGCAUCUAGCUUUCUCCUCCGUUCAAGAAAAAUCCCACCAUCCAUGGGGUUCAUCAAGAUUCAUAUUCCAUCCCUUAAAAAACAGCUCUCAGUCAAGGUGAAGCCCAUGCCAAAUAACAACCCAAAGCAAUAAAAAAAUUAAGCCCAAAAAUAAGUAUAAAAUCAAGAGAUAACAUAUUAAAAGGGAUGAAAUCUUCCCUACUUUGGAAAACUAACCCUUAGUUUUUUUCCAACCUAAAACAUACCUAUUUUGAUAAAAAUGCCCUCAUUUUUUUAUUACAAAAGUAACCAUUUCUUUUAAAACACACAUGUAAAUAAUGAAAAUAUUGAAGGGUAUUUAUGUCAAAAAUGGAUUACUCUUCAAGUUAAAAAACGAAAAAGGUUAGUUUUACAAAUUUAGGAUGUUUUUAUCAUUUUUAAUCAAUUAAUCCUAAAAUCAAUAUGCCAAGUAAUAUCCAACGAAGCCCAAAUCAAAAUAUUUAAUUACAUGUCAAUAAACAAACCCAUGGCUUAAGAAUAGGCCCAAAGUCUUCAAUAGGUAUUGUGGAUCAAAAACCUCAAAUUAAAAUCCCUAAAACUCUAACUAAGUGAACACUCUAAAUCACAAUAUGAGUAGAUAAAUCAAACUCAAAUAAAACUGAAAUCCUAAAAUAAAAACACAAACAAAUUAGAAUCUAAAGGAAAAGAAAAAAAAUGAGUAACUGAAAAUUCUCGAGCAUUAUCAAACAAUGGUAAUGAAGUCACAAGGUAAGUUAAUGGGAGGUCCAAAUGGGUGGUGUAAUGGUGGCUAGCAUGGAUUUGGUGAAAAAGAAAGUAGAAAAAGGGAUGAGAAGUCAUGUAACAGUUUGUACCCAAUCAUGUAUAUAUUGUCUGCUUUAAGCCUAAAGGGGACUUUCACGGGUUUAAAACACAUCCACUUGAUUAAGAAGGACUUUUACUCAUAUAAUGUCAGAAAUUUUCCUCCCUAUCUGAUGUGAGACAUUACAAACACUCCCUCAUGUAGACAUAGCGUUCUCAUUGUGUCUCAUAGGAUUGUGAAGUCAAACAAACAAAUACUCUUUAUAGAGCCAAACUCUCACACAGGGGUCGAGGAUCGACUUUGAUACCAUUUGUAACGAUUCGCAUCUAACCAUAUAAAUAUUGUCCACUUUGAACCCAAAUAGUCAUUCAUGGAUUUAAAAUGCGUCUACUUAGUUAAGAAAAAUUCUUACUUAAAUAGUAUUAAGAACUUUUUUUCAUAUCCGACAUGAGACAUCACAAAUACUUCCUCAUGCAGACACAAUGCUCUUGUUGUGUUUCAUGGGAUUGUGGGAUUAAACAGACAAACACCUCUUACGGGGCCAAACAAAUCCCCACAUCGGGGUGGAGAAUUGGUUUUGAUAUCAUUUGUAACUAUUUUUACUCAACCAUGUAGAUAUUGUCCACUUUGGGCUUAAAACGCUCCUUAUGACUUUAAAAGUCAUCUAUAGGAUUAAGAGAAGUCUAUACUUAUAUAGUACUUGUAACUUUAAUUUAUUUCUUAUUCGAAGUGGGAUAUUAUAAACAAUCCCCCCCCCCCAUGUAGAUACAACAUCUUCGUUGUGUUAUAUAGGAUUGUAAGGCUAAACAGACAAACACCCUCUACAGGGCCAAACAAACCCCCACACUAAGUCAGGGAUCAACUUUAAUACCAUUUGUAACAACUCACAGGUUUAAAACGUGUCUACUUGGUUAAAAAAAGCUCUUACUUAUAUAGUGUUAUAAACUUUUUUCACUAUCCGAUGUGAGACAUCACAAACACCCUUCAUGCAGACAACAUCCUCGUUGUAUUUCACGAGAUUGCAAAGUCAAACAGACAAACAUCCCCUAUGAAACCAAAUCCCUACACGGGGGUCAGGGAUUGAUAUUGAUACAAUUUGUAAUGACCCACACUUAACUGUGUAGUAUAGUCUGCUUUGUACCAAAAGGGUCUUCACGACUUUAAAAUGUGUCCACAUGGUUAAAAUGAACUCAUACUUAAAUAGCACUGAAAACUUUCUCUCCUAUCCGAUGUGAGACAUUACAAACAUCCCCUUCUUGUAACGAUUCGCACAUGACCGUGCAGAUAUGAAACAAAAUUUUAUUCAUGAAAAUAACUAAAAUUUAUUUUCGAAAACAUUGCGGAUCAAACUUAGAUGGACUUUCCACUCAUUACUAUAGUAUGCUACUUACAUUAUAGUCUUUGAGGCAAAUCAGCCUUACUGGAAAUUAAACCGUUUUAGUGUUAGUUAUUUUUAAUCGAUAUAGAAUCUGUUUGAUUCAAAACGCUAAAAUUAUUCUGGCCAAACACCAAUUAAAAGCUCUUUUCUACCUUAACCAUUUUUUAUUAGUUUGUUUCAUAAACAUGAUUUCUUUGAAUUGAUAUGGUGACGGAAUAUUGUUAUUUUUAUGUAGCGUUGACCCUAGGAAACGGUGCGUGUGUGUAAAACGAGGCGGGUUACAAAACAGACAAAGGGGUCAACUAGGGACAAAACCAGGGAUGAAAUUGAAAGGCGCCGUGGGUUGUAGCCUCCAAAAGACAAAACAAGGGUAGCAACUGGGUUGUGCGUCCUAGACAGUUGGGUGGCGUGUGGUAUAAAUAGCAAGAGAAGCACGCCCAUUUCUCCACAAAGGAAGAAACAAAGAAAUACUAGUUACCGUCAAAAGUGAGAGAAGAAAGAGCCUUAAGAUGUCAGGCACAGCUGGUCAAGUUAUACGUUGCAAAGGUAUUCUAGAAUCUAGCUUCUCUCUGAUGGGUCUCCCAUUGGAUUCUGUUUAUCUGAUGUCCUCUGUGAGCUUCUCUUGAAGAUUAGGGGUCCUUUUGAUGCUUUAUUUUUUUUGUUCUUUUCUUGCACUGGGCUUAUAUUGUUUUGGGGAAAUGAGAUGAUUUGUAGCUAGAUCUAUAUACAUCUUGAUUUGUCCUGGUCGUAUUUUUAUUAUUUAAUUAUGAAAAUAAUUAUGUUGAAUUCUUUGGACAAAUGGAUAUCUCCUGAUUAAAUUCUUUUGACAAAUGGAUAUAUACCUCCAUUACAGCCGCAGUAGCAUGGGAAGCAGGAAAGCCAUUGGUGAUCGAAGAAGUGGAAGUGGCGCCUCCACAGGUCAUGGAGGUUCGUCUGAAGAUUCUCUUCACCUCCCUCUGCCACACUGAUGUUUACUUCUGGGAAGCUAAGGUAACUUCUUCAUGCCAAUGUUAUGUAGACUGUAAUUACAAAUCUACAAUGUAUUACUUAAUAUGCAGAGAUUUAUAUAUAGUUGGGUUUUCGAUUUGCAGGGACAAACCCCUUUAUUUCCUCGUAUAUUUGGUCAUGAGGCUGGCGGGUAUGGAGAUAUUCUUACAAAUUAAUCAACCAAAAAAUACUAAAUUCCAUUUUCAUUGUUGUCUCCUUGAUUUUUCCAACACAAAUGAUUUUUUCAUCUUAAUAAUUUUCUUUCCUUUUCUGGUGUUUUAAUUAGGAUUGUGGAGAGCGUGGGGGAGGGUGUCACAGAUCUCCAAUCUGGAGACCAUGUUCUUCCUGUAUUCACUGGCGAAUGCAAGGAGUGCCGGCACUGCAAGUCAGAGGAGAGUAAUAUGUGUGACCUCCUCAGGAUAAACACCGACAGAGGCGUGAUGCUCAGUGAUAACAAGUCAAGAUUCUCUAUUAACGGAAAACCCAUUUACCAUUUUGUGGGGACUUCCACAUUUAGUGAAUACACUGUGGUUCAUGUUGGUUGCGUCGCUAAGAUCAACCCUGCUGCCCCACUCGACAAAGUUUGUGUUCUCAGUUGUGGAAUCUCUACAGGUGAGGGAGAACCAUCAAACAAACUCUUCCAAUUUAUUUAUUUCAUUGGUGUCUUCUUUUAUUUCUUCUCUUGUUAAUGACAAGUGUGCUUUCUGUUAAAGGUCUUGGUGCUACUUUGAAUGUUGCAAAACCAUGGAAGGGUUCAUCAGUCGCCAUUUUCGGUUUAGGAGCUGUGGGGCUUGCUGUGAGUUUCUCCUCUCUAAUGGAAGCCGCUCAUUCUUUUGCUCUUUAUUACUGCUAUUAAUGAAAUUAAUUUUUCUGUGGUUUCACAUGAUUAGGCUGCUGAGGGGGCUAGAAUUGCAGGCGCUUCCAGAAUCAUUGGGAUUGAUCUAAACCCUAAGAGAUUUAAUGACGGUGAGUACUCAAAAUGCCCACAAGAUUAAAACACUGUGUCAUACAAUUACAAAUUACUAUUUGUGCCUGCUCUAAUGCUGAACACUAUGGAUGAUUUUUCAUUUGACUUUUGUUGCUAACAGCAAAGAAAUUUGGCGUCACUGAGUUUGUGAACCCAAAGGAUCAUGACAAGCCUGUUCAAGAGGUUCAUUCCUUUACCUUCUAUCAUAAAUUGCUGACAAGCAAAUAUAAGUGUGUGCUUUAUACUGAUUGAGAAUUCUUUUGUGAUUAGGUGAUUGCUGAGAUGACCGAUGGGGGAGUGGACAGAAGUGUUGAGUGUACCGGAAAUGUCAAUGCUAUGAUAUCUGCAUUUGAGUGUGUUCAUGAUGUAAGUUCAUCAGAUCUCAUCUUGUAGUCGUUGGCCAAAGAGAGAUGAAAAUUUUCAAACCAUUUUGUUUAAUUUGGGAGUUUCCAUUGCAGGGGUGGGGUGUUGCUGUACUGGUUGGUGUGCCAAACAAAGACGACUCAUUCAAAACGCAUCCCGUGAAUCUAUUGAACGAGAGGACUCUGAAGGGCACUUUCUUUGGCAACUACAAACCCCGUUCCGACCUUCCUUCAGUGGUGGAAAAAUACAUGAACAAGGUGAUUAAUUAAUUAGCUGAAUUCCUUAAUUAGGUGAUUAUAUUUUGGGAAGAUGUCUUACUCGGUUAUUUUACCGUGGACAGGAGC